GAUAACCUGUGGAGUUGAUGUCUCUAUUUUAAGUGGGCUCUAGAGAUUGAGUCAGGCCGUCAGGCUUGUGUAGCAAGUGCUUCCACCAGUUGAGCCAUCUCACUGGUCUGACUCUAAUGUUCUGUUCAGAAGCUCAUGUAGGCCUGAGAGCACAGAUUGUAAUCCUAGCUAUUCUGGAGGCCGAGGCAGAGGACUGAAAAUUCAAGACCUGGAUGGCCUACAUAGUUAAUUUCAAGAAGGAAUUGGGUGGUAUAGUAGCACCCUAUCUCAAAAUUAAAAGUCAGUGCUCAGAAAGUGGGCUGAGUGGUUAAAAGAACUUAUCUGCUCUUGUAAAAGACUUAAGUUUUGUUCCCAGCACCCUGAUGUGCUGCUUAUAAUCACCUUUAACUGCAGCUCCAGGGGGAUCUGACUCAGCCUUUGAGGACACCAGUACCCAUGUGCACAUUCCCACACGAACACACAUCAUAUACACAGGAUUGAAAAUAAUGAAAAUAAUGAUAUAAAAAUAAGUACAAAAUACUAGGUUUGUUGGUGUAUUCCUUUAAUCCCAGCACUCAGGAGGCAGAGACAGGUGGAUCUCUGUGAGUUCGAGGUCAGCCUGGUCUACAAAAUGAAUCUAGGACAGGCAGGGCUCUAAUGCAUAGAUAAACCUUGUCUCGAAAUCCUCCCUCCUCUCCCCCUCCAACAAAAGGUAAAUAGAAAGUAAAAGAUGCUAAGGAUGCAGCCUCAGUGUUAAAGAGCUUGUUAGCAUAUGUGAGGCCUUAAUUGAGUCCCAGAACUGUUCUCCUCCUGUUCUAAACAAAACAAAACAAAACAAAAAAAAUAUCAAGAUCUCAAACACAGAAGAACAGGAUGUCAAAAAGCUGACUGGACAGUAGUUCAUGUGAAGAUGUCUGGGAAGUUGGAGAUUUGGUGAGUCAUGAGUGUGCUGAUGUAGCCAUGGUUAGUCAGAAGCUGCUCAUGCUCUGUGGGUGCUGAAAACACCUUCAAUUGUAUUCCAGGAAUUUAUCCGGGUGAUGUAAGUAUUAGUCCCUAUGUAUUUUUGUACUAGGUUAGAAACAUAUCUGAGUGUUGGCAUAAAUGAACACUGACAAAGUUAAGAGCAUUCCAAGGAAGGUAGACAGACUUGAAAAUGGUUUGAAAACCAUUUAGAUGGGAAACAUAGGAUUUGUGAUAGAGAUGGUAGUGAAAAAUUUAAAACUACAAAGUAGCAUAACAUUUAUAGCCCUCUAUUCACAAUACCUAUCACCUUUAUUUCAUUUAAUUUCUGAGACAGUCUGUAGAUAGAGUACCUGCUGGGAAUUGGAACCAGGGCUUUGUACAUUCUGGACAAGCACUCCAUCCAUCAACUGAGUGAUGACUCCACCUCUUGUCGAAUAGAAGCCAGUUAGAUGGCGGAACAGGAAAAAGUGCUUGAUGUCCAGUCUCACAAUCCGAGUUCCAUCCCUGGAGUCUACAAGGAGAGAAUUGACUCCUGCAAGUUGUGCCUGCCAUGACAUAGGUGUGUAUUCUCUCUGUCUGUUGCACACACACACACACACACACACACACACACACACACACACACACAGAGUAAGAAAAAAGAGUGCAUACAUUUUACUUUC
ensembl:lncRNA